rnacentral:misc_RNA from 1 species
GAUGAAGAACGCAGUGAAAUGCGAUAAGUAAUGUGAAUUGCAGAAUUCAGUGAAUCAUCGAAUCUUUGAACGCACAUUGCGCCCGCCAGUAUUCUGGCGGGCAUGCCUGUUCGAGCGUCAUUUCAACCAUCAAGCCCCCGGCUUGUGUUGGGGACCUGCGGCUGCCGCAGGCCCUGAAAUGCAGUGGCGGGCUCGCUGUCACUCCGAGCGUAGUAGUUACAUCUCGCUCUGGGCGUGCUGCGGGUUCCGGCCGUUAAAAGCCUUAUUUACCCAAGGUUGACCUCGGAUCAGGUAGGAAGACCCGCUGAACUUAAGCAUAUCAAUAAGGGAGGA